AUGAAUCACUUUUGUCCAUGCCUAGAUCAUCUUCAUUUAUAUAUAUGUGGAAGCUUACCAACGGUUUUGAACCUUCCUCCGUCCUUAAAAUACAUUCGUAUUGCUAGAUGUAGUAGUAUUCGAGUCCUAUCAUGCCAGCUGGGUGGGCUUCAGAAACCAGAAGUCACUACCUCUAUAAGCAGAAGCCCUACCAUGCCAGAGCCACCACCAGCUGCUGCAGCUACACGAGAGCAUUUACUUCCUCCCCAUAUCAAUACUCUAGGAAUAAAGGACUGUGAUGGCAUGUUGGGGACUCUCCUUCUGCCUGCACCACUCAAAAGACUGGCAAUUAUUGGCAACCGUGGGUUGACAUUGUUGGAGUGUCUGUUGGUAGAGCACCCCCCAUCGCUGGAAUUCGUUCAUCUUAAAAGAUGCAGUACCUUGGCAUCCCUACCGAAUGAACCACAAAUAUACAGAUCUCUCCAAGGGCUUGAAAUUAAAGGUUGUCCUGCUAUAAAGAAGCUCCCUAGAUGCCUGCAGCAGCAACUGGGCAGCCUCAGGCUCAAAUAG
rnacentral:rRNA from 1 species